rnacentral:rRNA from 1 species
AGCUCCAAUAGCGUAUAUUAAAGUUGUUGCAGUUAAAAAGCUCGUAGUUGAAAUUCUGGGCGUCUGGGUCCCCAGUCUUUAGGCGGGGAUACCAGCGUUCAUCCGCUUGCAAGCAUAUGUUCGUCCUUAACCGGUCGGCUAUGUGAGUAAGCAAUUUACCUUGAGAAAAACAGAGUGUUCCAGGCAGGUUUGUCCGGGAUGCAUUAGCAUGGAAUAAUAGAACAUGACUGAAGUCAAGUUAUUGGUUGUAGACUUUAGUAAUGAUUAAUAGGAACAGUCGGGGGCAUUCGUACUCAGCAGUCAGAGGUGAAAUUCUAAGAUUUGCUGAAGACGAACUAAUGCGAAAGCAUUUGCCAAGGAUGUUUUCA